rnacentral:rRNA from 1 species
AGUGAACGCUGGCGGUAGGCCUAACACAUGCAAGUCGAACGGCAGCACAGGAGAGCUUGCUCUCUGGGUGGCGAGUGGCGGACGGGUGAGGAAUACAUCGGAAUCUACUCUGUCGUGGGGGAUAACGUAGGGAAACUUACGCUAAUACCGCAUACGACCUACGGGUGAAAGCAGGGGAUCUUCGGACCUUGCGCGAUUGAAUGAGCCGAUGUCGGAUUAGCUAGUUGGCGGGGUAAAGGCCCACCAAGGCGACGAUCCGUAGCUGGUCUGAGAGGAUGAGCAGCCACACUGGAACUGAGACACGGUCCAGACUCCUACGGGAGGCAGCAGUGGGGAAUAUUGGACAAUGGGCGCAAGCCUGAUCCAGCCAUACCGCGUGGGUGAAGAAGGCCUUCGGGUUGUAAAGCCCUUUUUGGGAAAGAAAUCCAGCUGGCUAAUACCCGGUUGGGAUGACGGUACCCAAAGAAUAAGCACCGGCUAACUUCGUGCCAGCCGCCGCCGUAA